rnacentral:rRNA from 1 species
AAUCAACGCUGGCGGCGUGCCUCAGACAUGCAAGUCGAACGCGAAAUUUCCCUUCGGGGAGAAAGUAGAGUGGCGCACGGGUGAGUAACACGUAGGUAAUUUGCCUUUGGGUGGGGAAUAACUCAGGGAAACUUGAGCUAAUACCGCAUAAUGCAGCGGCUCGACAUCGAGACAGUUGUUAAAGCGGGGGAUUGGAGCAAUCCGACCUCGCGCCUAAAGAGAAGCCUGCGGCAGAUUAGCUAGUUGGUGAGGUAAUGGCUUACCAAGGCGACGAUCUGUAACCGGCCUGAGAGGGCGGUCGGUCACACUGACACUGACAUACGGGUCAGACUCCUACGGGAGGCAGCAGUCGGGAAUUUUGGGCAAGUGGGCGCAAGCCUGACCCAGCAACGCCGCGUGAAGGAUGAAAUUUUUCGGAAUGUAAACUUCGCAAGAACAGGAAGAAUAAGUGUGGGACAA